AUUGAACGCUGGCGGCAGGCCUAACACAUGCAAGUCGAGCGGGAGUAGCAAUACUCUAGCGGCGAACGGGUGAGGAAUGCUUGGGAAUCUGCCUAGUAGUGGGGGAUAACGUUCGGAAACGGACGCUAAUACCGCAUACGUCCUACGGGAGAAAGGGGGGGAUCUUCGGACCUCUCGCUAUUAGAUGAGCCCAAGCGGGAUUAGCUAGUUGGUGAGGUAAUGGCUCACCAAGGCAACGAUCCCUAGCUGGUCUGAGAGGAUGAUCAGCCACACUGGAACUGAGACACGGUCCAGACUCCUACGGGAGGCAGCAGUGGGGAAUAUUGGACAAUGGGCGAAAGCCUGAUCCAGCCAUGCCGCGUGUGUGAAGAAGGCCUUAGGGUUGUAAAGCACUUUUAAGCGAGGAGGAAGGUUCGUCACCUAAUACGUGGCGGAAUUGACGUUACUCGCAGAAUAAGCACCGGCUAACUCUGUGCCAGCAGCCGCGGUAAA
rnacentral:rRNA from 1 species